AUGGGAGAGCCAGGGACCCCCGACGUGGAGCAGAGCAGACCGGCUCCAUCUGUGACAGACUGCUUGCCGGAGGAGACAGAAGCAGGGAAAAGCAAUGGUAAAUGGCAUGCCGAUUCAACUCUCACUUGGCAUCUUUUAAGGCCCGCAGAUGCUAGACUGAGAGCCACUGGUAUUAGGAGCAUGUUGAUGAUGGUGCUGUGCUCAGACUUCACCCAGCGUCUCUCUGGGUGCCCCCAAUUAACGGCUUCUGAUUGCCUUUCGAAAUGUGUGAGAUGCCGGAGGCCACAGAGGCCAGCUCCCUUCUGGAUGAAGAGAUCUCAGCGUUACUGAACAGGGUCCGAUUUCUUGACCUGACCUUCAUGCCCAGAUUCUUGGGCUGGUUAAGUUGGAGUCGCUACGGUCAGAGUCGCCCAUUCGCUGCAAUCAAGUCUGCCACGGGGGUGGACCGAUGGGGAUGUCGUCCUUGGAUCCAGCACUGGUGGGUUGUGGAACCGGUCAGGUCUGUAACCCAGAGAUCCCCUUGCAACUCAAGACAUUUCUCAAGACUGGGGCUGAGUCUGCCUCCUUGGGUGUAACAAUAAGAAGCCAAUUGUAAAUAGCAUGUGGUCUGCUCCAUGUACCUUGUAGAGAACUUCAGUCACAUCAUUAAAAACCAGAACAUCCCAAUGAUUAGAGUUGUGUUUUUUGGGGGGAGGUAAAAUUAAUGAGUAAAGAAAUAUGGGAAGGUAAAGAAUUUAGCCUGGGUUGUGACAGAGCGUCCUUGUUUAGUGCAGCUGCAUCCAAAGUCAAAACAGCCUGGAUGAUAUCCAGUCUCAAGCAGGAGAGGGAAAAGAUUUAUUCCCCCCCCCCCCCCGUGGGGUGGUUGGGUUUUGGACUAAUCAGCCCUUUGGCUCCUGCAAGCAAAGCGUAAUCUGUUAUGGUCAACCUAUGAAAGUAGAUUCCAGCCGUCGUGCCUAACUGUAGUACAUGCAGAUCGGAAUCGACCUCCUUACAGCCGAACGAGUCGUUUUCUAACCUUCAUGGCUAUCAUUAGAAAUGUACAGCUUGGGUUUUAUCCAAAUGGAGAGUUAGAACAGGACGGAGCCAAAGAGGCCGGCCGAGCAGCCAUGAGAGCGAGAGGCGUUGAUGGAUGACCUCCAGCAUAUAGAUCGCUGAGCAAGCCGUUCCCCCUCUCGGUGGUCAAUGAUGCCAGCCUGUGCCGGAGGGCAAAACAUGGGGACAGGCUAAAUUAAAAGCCGUAUUUAGCUGUAUGGAGAGGUCACUCGCACAGGAUUCCUGCCGAAAAGUUUGGGCUGCCAUAAGAGAUUCCCAGAGAAAGGUGUGAUGUCAU
rnacentral:lncRNA from 1 species